UAUCAUCAGACAUCCACAUGUACACACUCA
rnacentral:piRNA from 1 species